rnacentral:rRNA from 1 species
GUGAGGAAUAUUGGUCAAUGGGCGAAAGCCUGAACCAGCCAUCCCGCGUGCAGGAAGACGGCCCUAUGGGUUGUAAACUGCUUUUCCAGGAGGAGAAACUCUCGUACGUGAUACGGGAUUGACGGUACCCUGGGAAUAAGCAUCGGCUAACUCCGUGCCAGCAGCCGCGGUAAUACGGAGGAUGCGAGCGUUAUCCGGAUUCAUUGGGUUUAAAGGGUGCGUAGGCGGACUAUUAAGUCAGUGGUGAAAUCCUGCAGCUUAACUGCAGAACUGCCGUUGAUACUGAUAGUCUUGAGUUUGGUUAAGGUAGGCGGAAUGUGUAAUGUAGCGGUGAAAUGCUUAGAUAUUACACAGAACACCGAUUGCGUAGGCAGCUUACUGAGCCGACACUGACGCUGAGGCACGAAAGCGUGGGGAUCGAACAGGAUUAGA